UAUAUAUAUAUAUAUAUAAUGCAAGUGAUAUUAAAAUGUAUGUAUAUGUACACAAUGAGCGUCUAUCUCGCAGAACACAAGUCACGAUUUUUUACAAAGCCAUAUUAAUCGAUCCAAAUUGAAGCUGCCAAGGCCUUUAGGAAUUAUUACUACAUAAAGUGUAUGCAUGCACAUUUUGGACUGUAUUUGACCUAAUUUAUGAAUUUUGAGAACGUUCAUAUUUUAUAUUAUUAGUCAUCAAAGGGAAUUGUAUCAGUUUACUAAAUGUUACACUAAAUCUCUCUCGCUCUCUAUUAUUAUUAUUAUUAUUAUUAUUAUUAUUAUUAUUAGUUUAUUGUAAUGAUCUUCUCUUGCCUCUUGGGGAGCAUGCGGUGUUUAAAACUUUAGCUAGUGAUGAGGUGCUGCUUUGUCCGUAUAGACAUCUUCACCUUUUUGAGGAUUCACAUGCAGGGUUCCUGGAUAUAUGUAAGUUAUUCUAUAUUAUAUUAUAAUAUAAUUUGCACUAUAAAUGUAAAAAAGGAAGGAAAAAAAAAAGACACAACCCACCACCACUUCAACACUCGAGCCACAAACAUGCGGCGGUCGAUCCACACCCAGCGCGUUCGAUUGAAUGAAUCUCGAGCUUAUUUUUUGCCAUGAAAAGCACACGCCCUCAUCCCAGGAACGUAAUCAGCUGUUGAGAUGUGUUAAUGGUCUUUGUGUGUGUGUGUGUGUGUGUGUGUGUGUGUGUGUCAGCCUCGGUGUUAAUUCACACUGUGGGGAAACGACACACUCUCGCUCUAUGCACUACCCGUUCCUCAUCCUCGAGCACGGAGCGUUUCCGUCAUCGCCGUGGUGACCACAGUCAGUGUGUGCAUGUUACGAUAUACGAGUAUCUUUCGUGGUGUUAAAGCUUAAGGAGAAUAUACACUUCGUAGUGUUCAGUGUUCAAUGUUUUCCUGAAGACGAGAUGGCGUGAUUGUAGUCCUCUCCCGCGUCGUAACUGAACCACAGGACAAGGACCAAGUUUUCUCAAGGACGCAACUUUUCACCAAGAGCCAAAGCUCCAGAUGAGUUGAAUUUUUUUUUUUUUUUUCCCGGCUCCAUGUUUGCCAUUAUUAAACUUUAAAAAAAACAAACAAACAAACAAAAAAAAAAAUGAAAUGAAAUUGCAAAAACUCUAAACAUCAGCCUAACGUGUCAAUUCCACAGAUUUUAUUUGCAUAUUUCUAAUCUCCUCCUGCUUAGAUUAACACCCCCCUCCCCCCUCCCCCCCUCCCCACCCCAUCUUCCAUGCAGUGCCAGGAACGUGAACAGUCCAUACACGGACCUUUUUGAUGUUUCGUGUAGAGAUAAAUCACUUCCGCAGUUUGUUUCAUCAUGUGAUAAUGACCAAAUAUCCAUUUUUAUUGCUUUUUCUUUUUGACUUUGUAAGAAGUUGAUGUGAGAGUUUCUGCGAUUCGAUCCAUCCAGUCGACGUGAGCACAAGUGAGGCCUGUCUUCUGUUAUUUACCUCUUAUUUUGUAGUAAAUGUAAAUAUUUUAGAGAAAUAAUCUUAUGCUUUUUUAUUUUCUUACUUUUGUCGUGAGGGGAAAAAAAUAAUAAUAAUAAUGUCGUGUGAGAAUACAGGGGUAUUUGUGGAACGUUUUUUUGGUUUUGUUUUGUUACAAAUAAACUGGCAACAAAUGUGUAAGUGUCUUUGUUUUGUUUUUACAUACAAUUGGCGGAGAAGAAAUUCAUUCCUUCAUCUUCAGUAAGAGCUUUAUCUUUGGUCGUGACCUUAAGACCGUCCACCUACGGGAACAUCUUUAGGAGGAAACUCACACGGACACGUGGAGAACAGUGCAGGAUUAUUCAAACUAAUUAACCAUUGCACCUUUAAAUCCCAGACCAUCCCAUCUGCAUAAGAUUAAUAAAAAUUUUAAAAUUACUUUUACACUACUGACCUGCAAUUACCUGUAGUAAAUUUACAUUUUUAACAGCAACAACAACAACAAAGUUCCCGCUCAGUCAUUUUUGUAGUUGUCAUUAUUAUCUGCUUUUGGCACCAUUUAUUUAUUUGUUUGUUUGCUGUAUUUGAAAUAUUCAGUCACCACACCCUCUCUCCAAAACACACACACUGAGCAGCGGUUUCAGAAUAAUAGUCAUGUUUACUAUGACACUAAUGCAGGCGGCAGGUAUAAAGACCAUUACUCAAUCACAAAAACAUCAGGCACAGAUGAGAAACCAUUAUAUAUGAAAUACAGCUGCAUUCCCAUCAUCAUCAUCACAGCAACUCGACCGCGCGCCCCUUCCCGCCCUCGCGCGCGCGCCUCCUCUUUCCCUGACGCCGUCCGUCCAUGCAAGAGUUUCGUUUCAGAAACGAUCAUAAUAUACAGACACCGCUUUAUAGUGACUUUUGUGAUAUCCCAUAAUAUUCAUAAUAGCAGUCAACAUCGGGUAAAAAUGCUAUGUGUAGAUCUAUAAAUAUUUCCUCCCACAUUCGUGUUUUAUUUUUAUUUCUUUUCGUCACUGCACGAGUUUAAAACUGAACGAGAAGGCAUUGUGAGGAACUGCUCCGAGUGAUCGCGAGCGGAUUACAAAACGACUUCCGUACUCGUCACAUUCGUCUUUUUCUCUGCCUGUUGCUGAUGCGCAAAUCAAAUCAAAAUGGCUGCCGUUUUUGAUUUGUCGUGUCGUGAUGACUCGUCGUCGCGUUGUCUAAACCUGCGUUCCGAUACAGCUUUAACACGCCCUGGUCGACUU
ensembl:lncRNA